GUGCCAGCCGCUGCGGUAAUACGUAGGGUGCAAGCGUUAUCCGGAAUUAUUGGGCGUAAAGAGCUCGUAGGCGGUUUGUCGCGUCUGCUGUGAAAACCCGAGGCUCAACCUCGGGCCUGCAGUGGGUACGGGCAGACUAGAGUGCGGUAGGGGAGAUUGGAAUUCCUGGUGUAGCGGUGGAAUGCGCAGAUAUCGAGGAGGAACACCGAUGGCGAAGGCAGAUCUCUGGGCC
rnacentral:rRNA from 1 species